rnacentral:piRNA from 1 species
UCNGAUGGUAUGCUGCUUGCCUAUGAUGC